UACAGAGGGGGCAAGCGUUGUUCGGAAUUACUGGGCGUAAAGGGCGCGUAGGCGGCCUGUUAAGUCGAACGUGAAAUCCCCGGGCUCAACCCGGGAACUGCGUCCGAUACUGGCAGGCUUGAAUCCGGGAGAGGGUAGCAGAAUUCAUGGUGUAGCAGUGAAAUGCGUAGAUAUCAUGAGGAAUACCAGAGGCGAAGGCGGCUACCUGGACAAUUGCUGACGCUCAGGCACGAAAGCGUGGGGAGCAAAAGGG
rnacentral:rRNA from 1 species